ensembl:processed_transcript C130046K22Rik RIKEN cDNA C130046K22 gene
GGUCUCAGGGCCCGCCCUGCUGAGAAGGGCGCCCGCGAGUGUGCCUGUCCCGUGGUGGUUGUGAGGUCGGAGAUGGGGUUGCGCGGAAGGAAAGCUGGACGCGAGGGAUGGGUGUGGCUCCGGGCCGGAGCUCGCGGAGAGCGGCGGGGCCCACAGGAGGAGAGCCAUCUUCCGUGAACAUUCUCACAGACUUCUCAUUGUGUGCCCUCAUCCCCUGCUGGGAGGCACAACCAGCAUCACCACCCGCUUGUCUACACAGAAGCAUUGAGCUGCAGAGAGCUUAACCUGGCCCACGAUGACUGAAGACAGAGGAGGACCAGACUACAGUCACAUGCCACCCUCCAGGCAGCUGCUGGAUCAUCGUCCUGCCUUAUUGACUCGAAGAGCUUGUCACAGAUAAACAGGUCACCUCUGGAUCAGGUCUGCUUUAAACAAUAGCUUUCAUCAGCCCCCUCCUAAGCCUGAGAGACAUGGCCUGGCCACCUCUGGUUUUGCUCUGACCCAUCGGAUUGAAGCUGAGCAGACGUCGAGGUUUGACAGAUCCUACUUCGGGGGCUGCAGUGAGCUCAGAAAAGCAUGCAUCCUCUCUCCAACCUAGGACCACCAGUCUCUUAACAGGCGUGUCCGAUCUGAUGGCUGCAUACACCCCUAAAUGACUAUCAGUAUUUCCCCCAGCUGGCGAUGAAGCACGUGGGGAGAUUGCUCUGUGCAUCUUCAGGAUGCUGAG